rnacentral:rRNA from 1 species
GCCAGACUCCUACGGGAGGCAGCAGUGGGGAAUAUUGCACAAUGGGGGAAACCCUGAUGCAGCGACGCCGCGUGAAGGACGAAGUAUUUCGGUACGUAAACUUCUAUCAGCAGGGAAGAAAAUGACGGUACCUGACCAAGAAGCCCCGGCUAACUACGUGCCAGCAGCCGCGGUAAUACGUAGGGGGCAAGCGUUAUCCGGAUUUACUGGGUGUAAAGGGAGCGUAGACGGCCAUGCAAGCUCGGUGUGAAAGGUGCGGGCACAACCCGCAGACUGCACUGAGAACUGUAUGGCUGGAGUGCCGGAGGGGCAGGCGGAAUUCCUGGUGUAGCGGUGAAAUGCGUAGAUAUCAGGAGGAACACCGGUGGCGAAGGCGGCUUACUGGACUGUAACUGACGUUGAGGCUCGAAAGCGUGGGGAGCAAACAGGAUUAGAUACCCCCGUACA